rnacentral:rRNA from 1 species
GACGAACCAAGCAAACGUUGUUCGGAUUCACUGGGCUUAAAGGGCGCGUAGGCGGUCUCUCAAGUCCGGGGUGAAAUCUUUCGGCUCAACCGGAAAAUUGCCUUGGAUACUGUGAGGCUCGAGGGAGGUAGGGGCAACGGGAACAUCCAGUGGAGCGGUGAAAUGCGUUGAUAUUGGAUGGAACGCCGGUGGCGAAAGCGCGUUGCUGGACCUUUUUCUGACGCUGAGUGCGCGAAAGCCAGGGUAGCGAACGGGG